rnacentral:rRNA from 1 species
GAUGUUGGGUUAAGUCCCGCAACGAGCGCAACCCUUAAGCUUAGUUGCCAUCAUUAAGUUGGGCACUCUAAGUUGACUGCCGGUGACAAACCGGAGGAAGGUGGGGAUGACGUCAAAUCAUCAUGCCCCUUAUGAUUUGGGCUACACACGUGCUACAAUGGACAAUACAAAGGGCAGCGAAACCGCGAGGUCAAGCAAAUCCCAUAAAGUUGUUCUCAGUUCGGAUUGUAGUCUGCAACUCGACUACAUGAAGCUGGAAUCGCUAGUAAUCGUAGAUCAGCAUGCUACGGUGAAUACGUUCCCGGGUCUUGUACACACCGCCCGUCACACCACGAGAGUUUGUAACACCCGAAGCCGGUGGAGUAACCUUUUAGGAGCUAGCCGUCGAAGGUGGGACAAAUGAUUGGGGUGAAGUCGUAACAAGGUAGCCGUAUCGGAAGG